rnacentral:lncRNA from 1 species
CAGUAGUGCUGACACAGGGAAAAUAAAAGCCGUUUCAGGUGCUGAAGAAAUAAAUGUGCAAGGAAUUAAAGAAGAUGAGACAAAAAUGCAAGGAAGAUGAAGAUCCAGGUAUUGUCAUGUGGAAAUUUCUGGAGCCAAUAAUGUGGAUCCUGGACUACCAUUCUCGUUAAGCACAUGCAGUGGUUCCUUUUCAGGAUGCAGAAUGCUAUACAAGUGUCUACACAGAUCAGAAAAGUUGAGUGAGUGGGAAAGAUAUAUCUAGUUGUUUGAAGUCAAG